CCUACGGGAGGCAGCAGUGGGGAAUCUUUCACAAUGGGGGAAACCCUGAUGCAGCGAUGCCGCGUGAGGGAAGAAGGUUUUCGGCUUGUACACUCCUUUUAUCAGUGACGAUAAUGACGGUACCUGAAUAAAAAUCUCCUGCUAACUACGUGCCAGCAGCCGCGGUAAUACGUAGGGAGCGAGCGUUGUCCGGAAUUACUGGGUGUAACGUGAGCGUAGGCGGGACGGCAAGUCAGAUGUGAAAACUGAGGGCUCAACUUUCAGACUGCAUUUGAAACUGAUGUUCUUGAGUGAAUUAGAGGUAAGCGGAAUUCCUAGUGUAGCGGUGAAAUGCGUAGAUAUAAGGAGGAACAUCGGUGGCGAAGGCGGCUUACUGGGCUUUUACUGACGCUGAGGCUCGAAAGCGUGGGGAGCAAACAGGAUUAGAUACCCCAGUAGUC
rnacentral:rRNA from 1 species